CUCUGCACUGGCGGCGAGAGCGGAGUUGUGGUUUCGGCUUCGUGCGGUUUGUUGGGGCUGCGCCCGGCGUGUGAGGAGCCGUGGACUCCAGCUCUGUGGAAAAAACGAAGCAAGUCUGGGAGAGUGGUCAUCGGACGAAUGAGGGAUGAAACCAUGUCAUUUCUCAAUCUUGGGAACUGCCUGAGGUUAUUUGACUUCUUAUGCUCCUUCUAGAACCUCAAAGCUGAAGAAAAAACAGGCCUGAAGAGAAGCAAGUUGCCCGAGAUCACCCAGGUAGUAACUGACAGCUGUGA